CUGAGUAUCAUCUGUGUUCCUACUUUACAAUCUCCUAACUCGACGUGUCCAAGAAGUUCCCUAUCUUUCUAGGGGAAUGUUUUUCCAAGUGCGCCCCACAGACAACCUACAUUAGAACCAACUAUAGUGCUUGUUAAGAGAAAAAAACCCCAAAGAUCUACUGACUCUCUGAGGGGUGGAGCUUGUGUACCUGCAUCUUAAUUAAGUUUGAUCAUGCUCAGAAUUAAGAAUCGUUGGUGUAGUAUGACACAGCUGCAUAUUCUGUUCAGCCUCUAAUCUGUCAUAAUUUAAUAAUUUAACAAUAAAUCAUUUCCCUACAAUGGUCUUGUUACCAACAGUGUGGGUUUUUGCAAGAACUCCUCACUAUCACAAGGCCCUCCAUCCAUUCCUUCAUUAUUGUUCCCUGCAUCCUUAAGAGUUGGGUGGAGGGCAGGUUUUGCUCAGAGGCAGGUGGUGGUGGUAGCUCUCUUUUUCCUCUGCUAAACAGAAUAUUAUACUUGAUUUGUCAUUUCCCUAGGGUUGCUCAGAGUCUGAGGAAUUCAUUCAUACUCAUCUCACAAGAGAUGACGAUAAUGUACAGAAAGUCAAUUUACUAGUGUCGGUGGAGGACUUGUGUGGUUCAAAAGCAGGAAUGGCCCUCCACACAACACAAGCACCCCCUUCGUGGGGAGCAGAUCCAGUCAGAGAAUUUGAAGGCUGCUUCCUGAUGCGUACAUUAAGGAAACCUUAUGGUUAGGGCAGGAGAGGGAGUGAAUUCUGAGAGAAGAUCCUACAGGCUCCCAAUCCUCCCUGGGUUAUCAGUCACAGGCACAGAGAGGGCCCACACUGACCAGACUGUCUUCUUUUGUUCUAGAAAACCUUGGGCCACCUUUCUUUAAAGCCCUUGGCUUUUCCUCUCCUGCCUGCAACAGCCAUUACCUCCACAGCUCCAUUACCCACACACUCUGGGAAGCCUAUAAACUGUAGAGAUGGAAACAAACGCAAGGUUUGGGUCUUGUUACCAUGAAGAUGGUCAUCCUCAGACUGUUGAAUGCACCCAUGCUACAUUUCCCCAGUCAUAAGCCAUAAGAGGCCACCUGGAAGAUGAUGGGACCAAUCUUCAUUUCAUGCAUGUCUACAUUUGGGCUAGACACAGUCCCAUAGGAACCUGAGAAGAAAAGAAAUGGAGUCCCCAACGAAGUCAGCAACAGAAGAACAACCUAGAUCUCAGACUCCUCAGAUGCAUUCCUCUCAUACUUCUUCUUCCCCCUCCCUGUGAUCUCCAGCCUUUAACCAGCCCUGACUCUGAGCUCCAGUGAUUGCCAGUUUCUGGGAAAGGAUUAUAAAAUCUAACACGUAUCAAAUGUGGACUUCUGCUGCUGGCCAAGCCUUGCCUCAAGAUGAGCCCAGCUGCAGAACUCCACAGUGGCACCACAGGAAGCUAAAACUCUGAAAAACAUUCGGUCCUUUCUGUCCAGAGGAAUCAAGAGGAAAGGCCCUUAUGGUCUGAAAAGCGUGUAUGUGGGGGUGCCUGG